AGCCACUCCAGAAAAGUACGAUCAGCACUAUGAAGAAACUGCAUCAACUAACUGGAAAAACAAACAGCUAGCAUCAAAAUGGAAGCAUCAAAUUCACACGUAACGAUAUUAACCUUUAAUGUAAAUGUGUUAAAUGGCCCAAUUAAAAGACACAGAGUGGCAAGUUGGAUAAAGAGUCAAGGCCCAUCAGUGUGCUGUAUUCAAGAGACCCAUCUCAC